rnacentral:rRNA from 1 species
CCUACGGGAGGCAGCAGUGGGGAAUAUUGCGCAAUGGGCGAAAGCCUGACGCAGCGACGCCGCGUGAGGGAUGAAGGUCUUCGGAUCGUAAACCUCUGUCAGCAGGGAAGAACGGUCACUGUGCUAAUCAGCAGUGAAUUGACGGUACCUGCAAAGGAAGCACCGGCUAACUCCGUGCCAGCAGCCGCGGUAAUACGGAGGGGGCGAGCGUUGUUCGGAAUUACUGGGCGUAAAGCGAUCGUAGGCGGUAUGUCAAGUCUAGGGUGAAAGCCCCGCGCUCAACGUGGGAACUGCCUUUGAAACUGGCAAACUGGAGUGUGGAAGAGGAUAGUGGAAUUCCAGGUGUAGGAGUGAAAUCCGUAGAUAUCUGGAGGAACAUCAGUGGCGAAGGCGACUAUCUGGCACAUAACUGACGCUGAGGAGCGAAAGCGUGGGUAGCAAACAGGAUUAGAUACCCGAGUAGUC